GUCGCUUGCUACCACGUCAUGCCCGUGUGGUGCACCGGACGGAGGAGGUUAUUCUACUGCGUGUGCGUUGAGAGCUGCCGCGAUUUCAUCGGGACCUCCCACUGGAAUUUAACCAAGCGAGACGGCGUACGCUCCACUCAAAAUUCAACAACCAUCGAUCGGAUCUUUUCGGAUUCGUAGCCAGAAACCGGUUCUUCAGCAGCUUAGUUUGAUUUUGGUUUGAUAAGCUGGUGAAUGGGAUCUGUAGAAGAAGAAAAUUCCGCGACGAUGGCGAUGAAUAUUAAGAGAGAAAGUACCGGCGGCGGCGGCGGUCGAAGCGUAGCGCUGGAGGAGGCGAAGAGAAUUGUGAGAUCGCUGGCUUCGAGCUGGGGCGACACUGUCGAUAUGGACGAGAUGAAGGUGAUCCCGCUGAAAGGUGCCAUGACAAACGAGGUGUACCAAAUCAAGUGGUCCAGAAACGACAAAGAAGAAGAUGGAGAUGUUCGGUCCCGGAAGGUUUUGCUGAGGAUUUAUGGCGAGGGCGUCGAAGUGUUCUUCGAUCGGAAUGAUGAGAUCCGGACCUUUGAGUUCGUGUCCAAGCAUGGUCAAGGCCCUCGUCUUCUCGCUAGGUUCCCUAUUGGCCGAAUCGAGGAGUUCAUUCAUGCUCGGACACUGUCAGCAUCUGACCUACGAGACCCUGAAAUAUCUGCUCUAAUAGCAGCUAAAAUGAAGGAGUUUCAUGAUCUUGACAUGCCUGGUUUGAAGAAGGUUUUCCUUUGGGAGAGAAUGCGAAAUUGGCUUAAUGCCGCCAAAAGUUUGUCUCCCCCGGAAGAAGCUGAUGCCUUUCGCUUACAUUGCCUGGAGGAGGAGAUAUCGUUAUUGGAGAGGCGUCUUUCACGUGACAAUCAGAGCAUAGGAUUUUGCCACAAUGAUUUACAAUACGGAAACAUAAUGAUUGACGAGGAGAUGAAUUCAAUAACAAUAAUUGACUAUGAGUAUGCUAGUUACAACCCUGUUGCCUAUGACAUAGCAAAUCACUUCUGUGAGAUGGCUGCCGAUUAUCAUACAGAAACACCCCAUAUUUUGGACUAUUGCAAGUAUCCAGGUUUGGAAGAGCGUCAAAGGUUUCUUCGUCUUUAUCUGAGUCGUGCAGCUGUUGAGCAAAGUGAUGAGGAAAUUGAGCAGCGAAUUCAAGACAUUGAGAAGUAUACUCUUGCAAGCCAUCUGCUUUGGGGCUUAUGGGGAAUAAUAUCGGUGUUGGAUCUGGUGCAGGUGGAUGGUGACUAUCUUCAGUGCUGUGCUGGUGAUCGGGGUGAUUAUAUGUUCUUGAGAAGGCAGUGGUCAAUCAGGUGCUUAAGUAUGUGCCUGGGAUGAGCAUCUAUCUGGGAAUACUUGUUACAGGUUUGAAGAAGAUUUGUUUCAAGUCUUUUAGGAUGUUGAGGCAAAUUGGAGGCUGAUUAUUCGAGAAAGGACAGGUCAAAGCACUAGGUGCAGAAAAACAACUGUGCACGAGUCUAGAGGAAUUACAAACAGUGUGCUGGUGUUGUGUUGCAUUUGUGGAGUCCAUUUAUUACGGCAUGUGAUAACUGCAUCCAUUUCUGUGCAAUAUGGGUGUGCAAGAAACCAAAUGUUCUUUGGUUAAACACCAGAAGCCAUCCCAAGUCAUGAACUAAGGGAGGUUAUCUUGAUUAUUUGAAAAUUAUGUUGUCAUGCUGAUGCAUGAGGACUGCACUAUUAAGGAAUGCCAUGUUACUAAUUACUAUGCUUGGUACUUUUAUUUCAGGAACAUGUCAACGAAAUUGAUUUUGAUUACAUAGAGUAUGCAAGACAGAGGUUUGAACAGUAUUGGUUAAGGAAGCCUGAGCUAUUAGGUUCCUGCUGAGCUACUGCUGAUGGUGUUGCUGAAGGCAGGUAACAAGGGUCAGUAGUGUUGAAGCCAUGAGAUCUGUUCCAAGGAAAAUCCUGUGAAAUUUGCGGACCCUAGAACGGGAAAAAGGAGGUAAAAGCAAAAAGGUGUACAAGAAGGAUUAGAAGGCGGACAUGUAGACAGUGUGUUUUGGGUUCUUGUUUUUAAAUUUGUUUGGCAUCAAAUCCUGCCAUGGGCGUUGGGUUCGGGCUGCUAUGAUGCUUUUGAGUGCAAUAAUUUGUUCUCGCGUUUGGUGAAUACUUCUGAAUAUUUGGAUGUACAUAAUAACUGUUUUUUAUUUUGAAACGGUAGAAUUGAUAAUCCUUGAAGCUGUAAAGUCUCUAAUUUUAUUUUGGUACAUUGUUAUCCUAACACUUUCUAUGUACAAAUGAAUAAUUUAUAUAGAAAUUUCAAUUA